UAAAAUAUGCGCUCUCUGAAUCCAUAAAUAUUUAAUUGAUUGUACUUGGUGUAACUGAUGAUCUUCAAGUGGAAAUCCUUUGAAUCGAACAAAAAGUUCGUAACCGCUAGGCUGCAUCGUCCCCUUCAACCAGAAUCAUCUAGAUUACAGAUUUCAUAACUGCAUUUUGCAAGAAGAGAGUGCCUCCCAUUCUCUGGAGUAACCGACUUGCUUUUCCGGGCACUGGUCUUUCUAACAACUGGAACUCGUCUCCCUUUUCCUGAUUCGCAUCUUCUUCGGCUCGAAUCCUUCAAGUCCCCUGAUAGAUCCACCCUGAUAGAUCAAUUAUCUCCA
rnacentral:lncRNA from 1 species